rnacentral:rRNA from 1 species
UGGGGAAUAUUGGACAAUGGGCGCAAGCCUGAUCCAGCCAUGCCGCGUGAGUGAUGAAGGCCCUAGGGUUGUAAAGCUCUUUCACCGGUGAAGAUAAUGACGGUAACCGGAGAAGAAGCCCCGGCUAACUUCGUGCCAGCAUCCGCGGUAAUACGAAGGGGGCUAGCGUUGUUCGGAUUUACUGGGCGUAAAGCGCACGUAGGCGGACUUUUAAGUCAGGGGUGAAAUCCCGGGGCUCAACCCCGGAACUGCCUUUGAUACUGGAAGUCUUGAGUAUGGUAGAGGUGAGUGGAAUUCCGAGUGUAGAGGUGAAAUUCGUAGAUAUUCGGAGGAACACCAGUGGCGAAGGCGGCUCACUGGACCAUUACUGACGCUGAGGUGCGAAAGCGUGGGGAGCAAACAGG